rnacentral:rRNA from 1 species
GAUGAACGCUGGCGGCGUGCCUAAUACAUGCAAGUCGAGCGAACAGACGAUGAGCUUGCUCCUUUGAUGUUUGCGGCGGACGGGAGUGAAACACGUGUAUAACCUACCUAUAAGACUGGUAUAACUUCGGAACACCGGAGCUAAUCCCGGAUAACAUGUUGAACCGCAGGGUUCAACAGUAAGAGUCGGCCUUGCUGUCACUUCUAGCUGGAUCCGCGCCGCAUGAGCUAGUUGGUAAGGUAACGGCUUACCAAGGCAACGAUGCGUAACCGAACUGAGAGAGUGGUCGGCCACACGGGAAGUGAGACGCGGUCCAGGCUCCUACGGGACGCAGCAGUAGGGAAUCUGCCGCAAUGGGGGAAAGCCUGACGGAGCAACGGCGCGUGAGUGAAGAAGGUCUUCGGAUCGUAAAACUCUGUUAUUAGGGAAGAACAAAUGUGGAAGGAAACAUGCACGGAUUGACGGUACCUAAUCAGAAAGCCCCGGCUAACUACGUG